ACCUAAAACCUAGAGACCUAACAAGCUACAGCUGUCACCCUCACAAGGAACGACCCCUCAUCUUCUUCUUCAACCAAAAGAAGACCUGAACCUUAGAGAACAACAAAGGGAACGACCUCUCCAGCCGCAGACGCUCCUUCUUGAACCAGCGACGAACUCGCCGAAAAGAGCUAACUCCUCUCCAAAGAGAACCAGCGGCUGCUUCUUGACCUCGACACCCAAUGACCACUCCUCCAUAACCACCCUUCAAAGAACAAACCAUCUUCAACCUCAAAACACCCCCUGAACUUCUACUUCUUCACUCUUGACCAACCCUUUAAGUAGCAGAAGCCAUCAGCGAAAAACUCCAUCCCCCUCACGCCGGACACACGCACACAUGCACCAACAGAACUGGCGAACCACCAAACACUAGUCAAAAAUCGAACUCCAACACCAAAACACUUCAUAACAGCGCUUUUCCUCAUAAAAGUUUUCUGAGGUCGAAGCUCUGUUACCCGAGGUCGCUGGCGAGUUCUCCGUUCCCGGUCCAGUUUUCUCGAGAUUUCUCACCGAGUUUCCAUCUUUGUACUCUCAUAUAUAAAAGGUCCGUUUAUUUUCGUGGUGCCAUAUAAUUAGUGAUGUUUGGAAUUAUUUCAUGUGCUCUAUGCUUUUUAGUCAACAUAGAUAAACUAUGAUCUCAUAGUUUCUUUCGUUAAUGUUUAGCAUUUUAGCUGAUGACUCUUAUCUAUUCUUUUAUAAUUGAUUUGCUCGCUUAAUUUGAAAUAGAGUUGUAAAUAUUGAGAUGUUGUUAGAUUGCUUAAGUUUGUUGAAUUCAUGGUUUUCUGUUGCCUCAAGGAAAUUAGCGAGACUUUCCCUAUGAAUAUGUAUUGAAUGUUUGAGCUCUUUCUUGAUUUAUUGAUUUUUCGUUUGAUU